GGUUAAGCGACUAAGCGUACACGGUGGAUGCCCUGGCAGUCAGAGGCGAUGAAGGACGUGCUAAUCUGCGAUAAGCGUCGGUGAGGUGAUAUGAACCGUUAUAACCGGCGAUUUCCGAAUGGGGAAACCCAGUGUGUUUCGACACACUAUCAUUAACUGAAUCCAUAGGUUAAUGAGGCGAACCGGGGGAACUGAAACAUCUAAGUACCCCGAGGAAAAGAAAUCAACCGAGAUUCCCCGGGAGUGAAAAAGAACCUGAAACCGUGUACGUACAAGCAGUGGGAGCCUCUUAAUGGGGUGACUGCGUACCUUUUGUAUAAUGGGUCAGCGACUUAUAUUCUGUAGCAAGGUUAACCGAAUAGGGGAGCCGAAGGGAAACCGAGUCUUAACUGGGCGUUAAGUUGCAGGGUAUAGACCCGAAACCCGGUGAUCUAGCCAUGGGCAGGUUGAAGGUUGGGUAACACUAACUGGAGGACCGAACCGACUAAUGUUGAAAAAUUAGCGGAUGACUUGUGGCUGGUAGAGCACUGUUUCGGCAAGGGGGUCAUCCCGACUUACCAACCCGAUGCAAACUGCGAAUACCGGAGAAUGUUAUCACGGGAGACACACGGCGGGUGCUAACGUCCGUCGUGAAGAGGGAAACAACCCAGACCGCCAGCUAAGGUCCCAAAGUCAUGGUUAAGUGGGAAACGAUGUGGGAAGGCCCAGACAGCCAGGAUGUUGGCUUAGAAGCAGCCAUCAUUUAAAGAAAGCGUAAUAGCUCACUGGUCGAGUCGGCCUGCGCGGAAGAUGUAACGGGGCUAAACCAUGCACCGAAGCUGCGGCAGCGACGCUUAUGCGUUGUUGGGUAGGGGAGCGUUCUGUAAGCCUGUGAAGGUGGCCUGUGAGGGUUGCUGGAGGUAUCAGAAGUGCGAAUGCUGACAUAAGUAACGAUAAAGCGGGUGAAAAGCCCGCUCGCCGGAAGACCAAGGGUUCCUGUCCAACGUUAAUCGGGGCAGGGUGAGUCGACCCCUAAGGCGAGGCCGAAAGGCGUAGUCGAUGGGAAACAGGUUAAUAUUCCUGUACUUGGUGUUACUGCGAAGGGGGGACGGAGAAGGCUAUGUUGGCCGGGCGACGGUUGUCCCGGUUUAAGCGUGUAGGCUGGUUUUCCAGGCAAAUCCGGAAAACCAAGGCUGAGGCGUGAUGACGAGGCACUACGGUGCUGAAGCGACAAAUGCCCUGCUUCCAGGAAAAGCCUCUAAGCAUCAGGUAACAUCAAAUCGUACCCCAAACCGACACAGGUGGUCAGGUAGAGAAUACCAAGGCGCUUGAGAGAACUCGGGUGAAGGAACUAGGCAAAAUGGUGCCGUAACUUCGGGAGAAGGCACGCUGAUAUGUAGGUGAAGCGACUAGCUCGUGGAGCUGAAAUCAGUCGAAGAUACCAGCUGGCUGCAACUGUUUAUUAAAAACACAGCACUGUGCAAACACGAAAGUGGACGUAUACGGUGUGACGCCUGCCCGGUGCCGGAAGGUUAAUUGAUGGGGUUAGCGGUAACGCGAAGCUCUUGAUCGAAGCCCCGGUAAACGGCGGCCGUAACUAUAACGGUCCUAAGGUAGCGAAAUUCCUUGUCGGGUAAGUUCCGACCUGCACGAAUGGCGUAAUGAUGGCCAGGCUGUCUCCACCCGAGACUCAGUGAAAUUGAACUCGCUGUGAAGAUGCAGUGUACCCGCGGCAAGACGGAAAGACCCCGUGAACCUUUACUAUAGCUUGACACUGAACAUUGAGCCUUGAUGUGUAGGAUAGGUGGGAGGCUUUGAAGUGUGGACGCCAGUCUGCAUGGAGCCGACCUUGAAAUACCACCCUUUAAUGUUUGAUGUUCUAACGUGGGCCCUAAUCGGGGUUGCGGACAGUGUCUGGUGGGUAGUUUGACUGGGGCGGUCUCCUCCUAAAGAGUAACGGAGGAGCACGAAGGUUGGCUAAUCCUGGUCGGACAUCAGGAGGUUAGUGCAAUGGCAUAAGCCAGCUUGACUGCGAGCGUGACGGCGCGAGCAGGUGCGAAAGCAGGUCAUAGUGAUCCGGUGGUUCUGAAUGGAAGGGCCAUCGCUCAACGGAUAAAAGGUACUCCGGGGAUAACAGGCUGAUACCGCCCAAGAGUUCAUAUCGACGGCGGUGUUUGGCACCUCGAUGUCGGCUCAUCACAUCCUGGGGCUGAAGUAGGUCCCAAGGGUAUGGCUGUUCGCCAUUUAAAGUGGUACGCGAGCUGGGUUUAGAACGUCGUGAGACAGUUCGGUCCCUAUCUGCCGUGGGCGCUGGAGAACUGAGGGGGCUGCUCCUAGUACGAGAGGACCGGAGUGGACGCAUCACUGGUGUUCGGGUUGUCAUGCCAAUGGCACUGCCCGGUAGCUAAAUGCGGAAGAGAUAAGUGCUGAAAGCAUCUAAGCACGAAACUUGCCCCGAGAUGAGUUCUCCCUGAGACUUAGAGUCUCCUGAAGGAACGUUGAAGACGACGACGUUGAUAGGCCGGGUGUGUAAGCGCAGCGAUGCGUUGAGCUAACCGGUACUAAUGAACCGUGAGGCUUAACCUU
rnacentral:rRNA from 1 species